UACAUUUAUUACAGAUCUAAGACUAAAGGAGAUAAUGAGAAAGGUUAAAAAAAUAAAAAUGCAAAGGAUUUUGUAUUUGUCUAAAUACAAAUAGCAAAACUCCCACACCAAACCAACAAAAGCAGGCAGUGGAGGAAGGAGAAGGCACACACACGUUCUAGCACACGGGGAUAGGUGUUUUAGAACAAACGAAAUAACGAGGUCUAAGUAAGGAGCGGGAGCUGGACUAUUUUUAAAAGCUUUAUGUCAUAAAUAUAACAGCUGAACAAACCACAAACAUCUUAUGUCUGGUCUACAUAACUGAGUCUAGGCCAGCCAGAGGUAAACAGAAUCAGAUAAAUUAUAAAGUACAGUAAAUCCAACAAAAUGCUUCGACAGUUGAGAACCAGUCACAUCAAUAUCACUUUCAGAGUUGCUCACAAAACAGAGCCACAGAAGAGGCACAGCUAAUGUAAGUCUCUUCUGAAAGGCUUAGGAUACAGAGCCAGAAAUGCCCCAGACGGCAGAAGAGUUGCCUCAGCUGCUCUUACAGAGGAUACAGAUUCAAUUCCCUGCACCUAUAUAAGGCAGCUCACAACUGUCUGUAACUCUAGUUUCAGAAGAUCUGACAUCCUUUUCUGGCCUCCUUGGGCACCAGGCACGCAUAUGGUGCAGACAUACAUGUAGGCUAAAUACCUAUCUAUGUAAAAUAAAAAAGAUUUUUAAAAGGUGGUAUAAAAAACAUACACCAGAAGUUUAAGACCAGUCUGGUCUACAUAACUGAGUCUAGGCCAGCCAGAGGUAAACAGUGAGACUCUAUGUAAAAUAUAAAACAAAACCAGCACACAACAGCCAACUCCGUUAUCUGUGUCACAACACAAGCUCAAGUAGCCCUGCCAUCCUGUAAAGGCUUCUCUAGCUCAAUUCACCCGCAGGACGGUUGUGAUGUUGGUUCUUUCCUAAGGGCCCUCAUUCUACACCCAGGGUGUCCCCUUCUUAAUGUCUCAAGAGAAUAAAGACUCGGCAGAAGCACAGGAUAGGCCUGCAGUUCCAGGAGAAGUAUAUGUCCUUUCCACUUAACUUCCCCAGAGUCAGUCACAAAGCCAUCACAGCUUGUGGGAAAGGAGAAGCCGGCUGACACAGGACACAUGGCCACUGGAAUGACUCUUUCUUAUAUAACACAUAGUCACAACUUAGGAAAUGUACACAAUUUAAAAACAUGUAAGACAUGUUUAAAAACAUCCUAGUAUUCUAGAAUGGACACGGUAGAUUUUGGACUCAAAAGCAUCAUGUAAGAUAAAAUAAGCUCAUUCUAUAAUACUAAAGAUAAAGAUCAUAAUGGAAUUGUAUUAACUGAAUAAAGCAAUAGUCACUUUCUUAAAGCAGAAACUAUAGGAGAUCCACAGAAACACAAAAAGACAAGACAUUAACACGCUUCUCUCAGUCCAAAGCAUAUCAAAUAAAUAAAGACACAAAUGGCCUAGUCCUAAUUAUAUAAUCAGUAGUUAGAUAUUAUAUAUCUGUAUCAAACUGAGAAGCAAACAUCCACCUUCAUAUGACCAUUCAUGAGCACUGAUAACAUAUUAGGCAGCAAAGAAAGAAGAAAGAUCAUUGUUGGUUUUCUAAUUACAAGGAAAUAAAACAGAAAUUUAACAACAACAAAAAAAAUUUUAAGUCUCUUCUGUCUAGAAGGAUGCCCCCAGCAACUCCUAGAUCAAAGAGCAAACAGACUUAAGAUCAAAGCACUAUGUAUCAGGUCCUACAGUAUACAGUCAAAGCAGUUUAAGAAUUCACACCUACAUCACAUUCAUAUAAGCAAAACAGAGACAGUAAAUUAAUACCCCUGCAAAAACAGAGCCAGAGGGAAAAAUAAAUGGUAAGGAAAAUCAAAAAGCAACAAAGGCAGAAAAAUAAGGUAAAAGGCACGCAAGCAGCAGAGCAGAUGAGGAUACUAACUGGCUGCUGGAGAAUAAAUAAAGGAUCAAAAACUCAAGGGAGAAGACGGAGGAAACCAUAAUGCAAAAGUACGUACCAAGAAUCAAAAAAGAAAAUACUGAAAAAGAACUUAGAAAUUAAAAAAGAUUCUGGCAUAACUCUGCAAGUCGAGUUUUGAUUAAAUGAAUAAUUUUCUGAGAAAAUAUAAUUGACUAAAAUUGACUUUAGAACAAACAGUGCAUUUAAAUAUUCCAAAUUUAACACCCACACCCACACACAAACAAACAAAACAAAACAACCCAUGUUAGUGAAAGAACUGGGCUAGGGAGACUCUCAGUGUUGGGAAUGACAACACACACAUCUGUAAUCCCAGCACCGUGCAGGUGUGGAGCCAGGAGUACUGCCGGUGUGUAUGCUGGCCAUCAGCCUUCUGCCAGGUUCAGAGAGAUACAUACCCUUUCUCAAGAGAAUAAAGCACAAAGUGUUAAAGGAGAGACAUUUUGCCAUUCUCCUCUGGCUUCUGGAUGUUUGCACAUAUACCACAAAUGUUGAAAACAAACCAAGAAAAGAAAUGAAAAUACACACUUACAAACCCAACAGUUUCACUCUAAGUGUAGCUACACAACCCAUAAAAAAACAUAGGAAAAGAGAGAAACACUUAAACUCAUUUUCUAAGAUACCUACAACAUCAACAUUUCAACCUCAUAAAGGCUAUAUACAAAGAGUCACAAGUAAGAUAAUUCUAAAUAAACUGUGUAAAAACAGAUUUCAAAAGAGCUUGUUAAGAAAGAAAGAAAGAGAGAGAGAGAAGAGGAAGGGACGGAGGGAGGGAGGGAGGGAGGGAGGGAGGGAGAGAGAGAGAGAGAGAGAGAGAGAGAGAGAGAGAGAGAGAGAGAGAGAGAAAGAAAGAAAGAAAGAAAGAAAGAAAGAAAGAAAGAAAGAAUAGUUUGUUACCGUUACUCUGGGAGGCUCAAGCAGGCAGAAGGAUCACAAAUUUGAAGCCAGCUUGGGCUAUAGUAAGACCCUCAAAGCAUCUCAGAGGAGUUUAUUCCAAGAACGAAAGGACAGUUCAACAGGAACCCACCCACUAAUCAAGAUAUUGGUAAUUUAAAGGAAAAAAAUAAUUUUUAUCUCCACAGAUAUUGCUAAGGCUUUUCAAAUAAAACAAUGGCCCUUGAUGAAAAAUACCCAGUAAAACAGGAAUUCUGUUCCCUACUAUGAGAAAUAUGCCUUAAUUCAAAUAUUGACUAAUUAAUUCUAUGUAAGAUUUUCAUUGUUUUGAUAAGUUCUACAUGAAAACAGAAAAGUUAGCAUUCUGAAAUUUUAACUCCCACCUUGAACUUCCUGUGAACCGUGUGAGCUGCUGACAAUUUUUUGAAUGUAAUACUAUCUUCUCAUCAAAUCAAUGAAUACAGUUCUGAAGGCCUAACUGUAUAAAGUCCCCUAUGAUUAGGAUAACACUGUGAUCUGGUGACAUGGACACCUGUGGUUUACCCCAUUUUUUUUUUUUUUUGCUGUUUAAAAAAAAAAAAUGCCAGUUUGGGGGCGGGGAGCGGUCUUAGAGUUUCUAUUGCUGUGAGAAGACACAGUGAUCAAAAUCAACUCUAAGAUGGGAAAGGUUUAUUUGGCUUACACGUCCCAGGUCCUAGUUCAGUGAUGGAAGCCAAGGCAGGAACCUGGAGGCAGAACUCGAAGCAAAACCAUGGAAGAAGACUGCUUACUGGCUUGUUCUUCACGGCUUACCCAGCCUGCUUUCUUAUCUAGCUUAGGACAGAGUCCUGUGGGCUGUACCCUCCCACUCUGCAUUAACAAUUAAAUCAGGAAAAUGCCUACAGACCAAUCUAGGGAAACAUUUUCUCAACUGCAGUCAUCUUCCCAGAUAACUCUAGCUUGUGUCAGGUUGACAUAAACAAUCAACCAGGAAUUAUUUGUAAUCAUAAGUGUCAUGAAUAAUUCUCAUGAAAUAAAAAAUAGUUGAAAAAAAAUCAGAAGUACAAAAUCCCAGAAUUACAGAUUUAAAUGACAUGUAUUAUUAUUUUUCUAUAAACAAUUAUCCAUAUCCAUAUCUUAGUUCUUAAGUUAUAAGAAGUAUACAUAAACACGCUCAUAUGUCUUACACUGUAAGUUCAUCUUCGUAAGUAACCGAGUCUACAUUUACUCUCCUGUUUUUGAGACAGGCUGACAUGAAACCCAAGAUCCUCCAGCUUCAGCCUCUAGAUUACUGGGUGAGCACAUUCAUGAUUUUUUUUUUUUUUUUGGUAUUAUUUUUCCUAUUCUUUUUGUUUUGUUUGGCUUUUGUUUUGUUUUUGAGAUAUUUCUCUACAUAGCCCUGGCUGUCCUGGGAUUCACUAUGUAGACUAGGCUGGCCUUGAACUCACACAGAUCUACCUGCCUCUGCUUCCCGAAUGCUAGUAUUUAAGGUGUGUGUCACCACAUCCAGAUGAUUAAUGACUUUAAAAAAAAAACUGAAUUUACAUUUAAGUAUUAAUCAUAACUGAGAAAGAUGUAAAUGCUCUCUCUCAAAGCUAUCACAUGACUGUGCUAAACAUGGAAACGCAAUCUUCACUGAAAUAAAAACAAGGGAACAAUAUGGAUCUAGUCUAUAGUAUCUAAGAAAUAUCUGAAUCUUCACAGACAGACAUGAAGUAGACCCAUGUUUAGUUGCAGUAAUCCAAAAGGAUCCUUCAUUAAAUUUACACCGAGACCACCUCGUUUAUUAACCCUGAGAUGAAGGAACAUUGAAAAGGAACCAUCAGGGGGUUGAGAAUAUAUCUCAGUGGCAGGAUAAACGUUUGCCUAACAAUGUACAAGGCCUGGGGUUGCAUCCCUAGCACUGCAAACAAACAAACAAAGGAAGGAAGCUCAGAAACACUUUCCUAUCAUUCAGUAAGUACGGCUUUCUUCAGUGUGCUCUGUGCCCUCACUGCAGGUUCCCCUAGUAACAAAUGGAGAUAGCAAGGAGGUCUUUGCACUUGGAAAGUAUCCCAUUGUCAGUCUGGGCAGCUAAAGAUCCUUCUAGCCGUUCUCGGAGAUGCUAAAUUAAACUUUGAUUAACUACAAAUGUCCACAGCUCCACUCUGGCAAUGCACUAAGUGAAACUUUGACUUUUUCAGUGGUGGUCUUACACACUGUUGUGCUCUUCAGAAAAAGUGAGAAUUAAUUUGACGGCACAGCUACAAAGAAAACAAACAAACCAAAACCAAAAAAAAAAAAAAAAAAAAACAAAAAACAAAAAAAACCCAGACAAAAACAGUUACUCUUUAACCGGGAAUAAGACAGAAAACCAAACAGAAGUAACAUUGGUUGCAGGCUUGUCUGCAUCCUUUCAAAUGGUUUUCUUGUAGGGAAGCUGUAGCAGCUUCGCUGGGGGGAUAACUGUACUCAUGCACGCCUCCCUCCCUCAACCUCCAGCUACCAAGCUGAAGAAGCUUCCAAUAGACUCACUCUCAUGGAUUUCCUCGCAUAUUUCCAUCUAAAGCAACAACAGAAAGGCAGAGUUAUGUAACAAUACUGAGAACAAAGUAUAUCACAAAAGCGGUGUUUGGGAUACAGGAGAUGGAGUCAAGCUCCGCUUUAAUCUGCAGUUAGGAGAUUAACAGUCAGUGACGUGAAACAUCUGCAUUAAGCCAAAUGCCUUUUUAAAUGUCUGACACAUCCUUAAAUCAUCACCUGUCCAUCUCUUAAGCAGGAGCGCCGAUGAUACUUGCCAUGAUUAAUUCCCUGUUAACUUGAGAGUCUCACAUGGGGAUGGAUAACACUACCGUAAAUGAGGGAUAGAACCAAAGAGGGGUGGGGCAGGGCAACGUGUAAGGUGAUGACAGAUGCUUGCAAUAGCACACCCACAGGACCAUUGUAACUAAAAGAGAAAUAGGUCUAGUUUGGGGUUUCAAAUACUUAUAUACUUAUAAUGGAUCAUAUGAAGUUCUACAUAUUCUUCUCCUAAGCUUUCAGAACCAAAUAUGACUAGAAACCUCCCAGUCCUGAGUGCAAAGGACACUUAACCUGGCUAAGACUCUUAAGGUAUUUAUUCAUUUAAGCUAGUGACCACACUUUUGGCUCUGAAAUCCCAUAAAACUCAAUCCAUCUGCCCUUCUGCUUCUUUGAUAAGAGGGACUGCCAGCUCUGAUAAGUAUGUGGAUAAUCAUGCCACAGCCAUUUCCAACCUCCACAGGUCUAAGUAUUUUAUAAACUCAUUGAUUAUUAAUCACAAGACACACUGGAUUAUAGCAGAAGAAACUGAGGCCCAAAGAAGCAAAGCUAACCUUUUCCAAACCCCACGGUAACAACCUGGACUGCUGUUUCUAAGUGACUCCACACAAACUGAGCGUGGAUGGGAAAUGAAAGUCUUCCUACCUGGCCUGCCACUGACAGGGCAGCAACGGCCCAAAAGAUGUUUCUUCAGAAAUAAAGAUUCCUCAAAAUCCUUUCCGAUGAGUGUCUCAAGAUUUGACAUAGUUUCCUCAAAACAGUGCUCCUCUUGACCAAAAUUAAAUGUCCAUAACUGGCUCAAGGAAGCACAUCCCGAUGUGGAAUGUGUAUUAACAUCAUCUCCCAAGGUGAGCUACUCUGCCAUUAAAUUUCACACAGACUGAAUGCAAUCCAGUGUGUGUUUUGUGACUCAGACAAGAAUUAGUCUUUGGCACUUGCAAUGCUCCUUGUCCCUUUGAAAGAGGAAGCAGUAUCUAUAACUUACACCUACACUUCCAAGCUUCAUAUUACAUGAGAAAUUUAAGAACUAGCAGAGACAAAUGCCCUUAGGGGUCUCCAAGCAUGGUCUCCUUCUCUAUCUUGGCAGACCAUGGUACCAUAAACUGUAUCAAUGUGACUCUAAGCAUUUCCUGGAGAUGCAAACAUAAUGGGGCUCAAUUAAACUAUUAUAUAAUAAUUAAUGUAAUUAGUAGUCAGAUGAAUGAAGUAAAAAUAAAAGUCAAAGUUCACUGGGUACAUUUUCAGCACUUAAGUGUCUAUACUGAAUUUUUACAGAAACUGCGUCUCACAAUGCAGCAGUUUAGUAUGUACCUCUAGUCCCUCUCGAUAAUUAAAAUCUGUUCUUGGUACAGAUCUUUCACUUUCAAAUGGGAGAAAAAAAAGAAGAGGCACACGUAAUUUCUACCGCUGUCAUAAACAGCUGAAUCAUUCGCAUAAUCAACAGCCCAGAAUUCUUCCACAAGCUCUCAGGGCAGGUUUUGCUUUUUGAAAGCUCAGAAUGUAAACCAAACCCUUCCCUACCAAGAUAUGUAAGAAUUAACAAAAUCACGGGAUUCCCAAAGGAUACUCUGACUUUAAAAAGGAGCAAUGUUACAUACAGUUCAUCAAACGGGAAGCCUGAACUACGGAUACAAGUCACUCUGGCAAAUGAAAAACACACCAAGGAGGAUAUGAUUUCAAGGCCCUUGAGCCAAGGCCAGCGGGCAAGUGCCCGGGAUACAGGGGCGCAGACUUCGCGCUCCCCACGAGCCACCAGCUGCUGCCAAACUCCAGGUUGAAUUCCAGAACCUCACAGUCCUGGCUCCCCCGGGGGAUUUACGGGCCCAACCAGGGGAAAUGAAUAAAUCUGGUCCACCAGGAGGGGUGGCAUCCUUGAAGAGGCAGCUUGGCGCGGACCCUGGAGCUAGCACCGGACCGUUGGCGACGCAUGGGACUUGGGGGACCACAGAGAUCUCCGAGGACGCGUAUGAGGGGACGUUAUGUACACAAGAAUGCAGGUGUUCAAGGAGGCCAGAGUUAUCAGAUCCCCUGGAGCUGGAGGAACACCGGAGUUUGGAAACUUCUAACAGGCCUAGAUGGAGGAAACAGGUCCCUCGAGACAUACCUUUGAAGGUAGCACCUGAUUCACAGAUGUUUCUUUCUGCUUCCUGGGUACUAAAAGGUAAAGAGGCUCCUCUGUUAUACUCCCCAUCCCCUCACUGCUAUGAUGUUCUGUCCAAACUCACAGGGUCAGGUAACUGUAGGCUUAGAUUUUUCAAAACCUAUUUUAACUAUGGUUCUUUAGUUCUUCAAUCUCCCUUCUAGCCUACUACCCACCAGAGGGGAGAAGAAAGGUUAAUAGGAAAUGGGGGUUAUGGUCCUGUUGAGAAAUAGUUCUUUGGGGCAAUUCCAAUCUUUGUUGUCAGCAGUCCAGUGCACUAGCAAAACAGCAAAUACAAAUUAUCAGAAGCAGUCCAGUCCAAACACGAAUCAGUAGCAGCAGCUCACUCCAGAAGAAACUGUGAGGCUCCACUGAUUGGUACAAGUUUGUGGAAAUGGCAAGAAGCAGCAUGAAUACUACCAGAAGUUCUUUGGUGUAUUUUUUUUUUUCUCUACAAAAUCAUGAUAAGUGAAGAUCAGGGAAGAAAGUAAGGUGAACCAAUGCAUGCAUGUUGUCAGCGAAGCCCAACAAAGACUAGCAAAGGGUGGCAAGGUGAACCAAUGCCAGAAGGUCGUCCACUGUUGGGUAAUACUCAUACUCUUUCCAAACACCAUGUGUCCUCUCAAGCAUCCACUUGAGCAAAACAUCACGUCUUUUUAUCAAGCAGCUUCCAGAAAAGCACCACGUGUCUGUUCUCAGCAAAACAUCCUCUCAAAAGACAGUUCCAGAAAAAUAUCACAGUACAAAAACGGAGUCCAAAGCUAGAAAUUCCUACUUUAGGUAACCAUGGAUCAAAUUCCCUGAAGUUUGAAUGAGAAUAAAUCCUCCCUCUUUAUGUUUUUUA